GAGAUUACCUGCAAUUCCCAGAAAAAAACUCGACGAGAAAAAAUGAAGUUGUUGUCGUGGUCGCCGAGGCUGAUGUCUGAGGAAAAGUUUAUUGUUUUAGGGUUUAUCUUUGUGAGUUUCGAAACGUCUUAGCGCAAUGGAAGGUUUAGGUUUGACACGUCUACCAAUUGGUUUAACCAAAAAUCCAAUUUGCGAGUGUUUAACCGAAUUAUUUAGGCUUUAACCGGCAUGUGUUCUUCAAAAUCUUU